rnacentral:rRNA from 1 species
AUUGAACGCUGGCGGCAUGCCUUACACAUGCAAGUCGAACGGUAACGCGGGGCAACCUGGCGACGAGUGGCGAACGGGUGAGUAAUGUAUCGGAACGUGCCCAGUUGUGGGGGAGAACUGCUCGAAAGAGCAGCUAAUACCGCAUACGACCUGAGGGUGAAAGCGGGUGAUCGCAAGACCUCGCGCAAUUGCAGCGGCCGAUAUCAGAUUAGGUAGUUGGUGGGGUAAAGGCUCACCAAGCCAACGAUCUGUAGCUGGUCUGAGAGGACGACAAGCCACACUGGGACUGAGACACGGCCCAGACUCCUACGGGAGGCAGCAGUGGGGAAUUUUGGACAAUGGACGCAAGUCUGAUCCAGCCAUGCCGCGUGCGGGAAGAAGGCCUUCGGGUUGUAAACCGCUUUUGUCAGGGAAGAAACGCUCUGGGUUAAUACCUCGGGGUAAUGACGGUACCUGAAGAAUAAGCACCGGCUAACUACGUGCCAGCCGCCGCCGUAACAC